UACGUAGGGUGCAGGCGUUAAUCGGAAUUACUGGGCGUAAAGCGUGCGCAGGCGGCUCCUUAAGUCAGAUGUGAAAGCCCCGGGCUUAACCUGGGAGCUGCAUUUGUGACUGCAGGGCUAGAGUACGGUAGAGGGGAAUGGAAUUCCGCAUGUAGCAGUGAAAUGCGUAGAUAUGCGGAGGAACACCGAUGGCGAAGGCAAUUCCCUGGACCUGUACUGACGCUCAUGCACGAAAGCGUGGGGAGCAAACAGG
rnacentral:rRNA from 1 species